UACACGUUGUUGACUAAGUCAUCCCUUCAGC
rnacentral:piRNA from 1 species